UACGUAGGGUGCAAGCGUUGUCCGGAAUUAUUGGGCGUAAAGAGCUCGUAGGCGGUCUGUCGCGUCGGAUGUGAAAAUCCAGGGCUCAACCCUGGACCUGCAUUCGAUACGGGCAGACUAGAGUUCGGUAGGGGAGACUGGAAUUCCUGGUGUAGCGGUGAAAUGUGUAGAGAUCGGGAGGAACACCGGUGGCGAAGGCGGGUCUCUGGGCAACUCCUGACGCUGAGGCGCGAAAGCGUGGGGAGCAAACGGG
rnacentral:rRNA from 1 species